ensembl:lncRNA
CCUGGACUGGUUGCCCGAGGGCACAGAUGCCAGCCGGAACCCCGAGGGCUUUGGGUGGACACUGCCCACCCUGGGCUUCUUCUGAAGGACUCUUCCUUCUCCAAGGUCAUGGCCAGAGGAGGGCCAUGGAUUCCCUCUGUCUUCACACUGACCGUGGGCCUUCUACUAGCAGCACCCUUCCCCCUCCAGGUCCCAGGGAGAGAUUGUCUGGCUACAAUGACUGGGAUCCUAUCCUAGACCUUAGAAUUCACCAGCUCCAGGACUCUCAGAUCUGGGACACAGAAAACUCAGCUCUGGACCCCGUACUUCAGAUGACACAACUUUGGCCCUCUUCUGUAUGAGGUGGGGAGUGUGGCUGGCCAAGUUCUCUGCAAGUUCAUCCUGAAUGGGGGAGUGGCUCAUCCCUG